rfam:Coprinopsis cinerea okayama7#130 chromosome 11 cont3.11, whole genome shotgun sequence.
GCCAACGUAGCACAAUGGUAGUGCGUUGCUUUCCUAUCCUUGGGUUAAGCGCCCAAAAAGAGGCAGAGGCUGUGGGUUCGAGUCCCAUCGUUGGUU